GAAGAAAGUGGGAGGCGUGCCUAAUACAUGCAAGUUGAGCGCUGAAGGUUGGUACUUGUACCGACUGGAUGAGCAGCGAACGGGUGAGUAACGCGUGGGGAAUCUGCCUUUGAGCGGGGGACAACAUUUGGAAACGAAUGCUAAUACCGCAUAAAAACUUUAAACACAAGUUUUAAGUUUGAAAGAUGCAAUUGCAUCACUCAAAGAUGAUCCCGCGUUGUAUUAGCUAGUUGGUGAGGUAAAGGCUCACCAAGGCGAUGAUACAUAGCCGACCUGAGAGGGUGAUCGGCCACAUUGGGACUGAGACACGGCCCAAACUCCUACGGGAGGCAGCAGUAGGGAAUCUUCGGCAAUGGAAGAAAGUCUGACCGAGCAACGCCGCGUGAGUGAAGAAGGAUGUCGGAUCGUAAAACUCUGUUGGUAGAGAAGAACGUUGGUGAGAGUGGAAAGCUCAUCAAGUGACGGUAACUACCCAGAAAGGGACGGCUAACUACGUG
rnacentral:rRNA from 1 species